UCCGUAGGUGAACCUGCGGCAGCACAUGUGUUUUUUAUUGAACAAAUUUCUUUGGUGGCGGGAGCAAUCCUACCGCCGAGGUUAUAACUAAACCAAACUUUUUAUUUACAGUCAAACUUGAUUUAUUAUUACAAUAGUCAAAACUUUCAACAACGGAUCUCUUGGUUCUUGCAACCGUUGAAGAACGCAGCGAAAUGCGAUACGUAAUAUGAAUUGCAGAUAUUCGUGAAUCAUCGAAUCUUUGAACGCACAUUGCGCCCUUUGGUAUUCCAAAGGGCAUGCCUGUUUGAGCGUCAUUUCUCCCUCAAACCCCCGGGUUUGGUGUUGAGCAAUACGCUAGGUUUGUUUGAAAGAAUUUAACGUGGAAACUUAUUUUAAGCGACUUAGGUUUAUCCAAAAACGCUAAUUUUGCUAGUGGCCACCACAAUUUAUUUCAAAACUUUAACCUCAAAUCAGGUAGGACUACCCCCUAAACUUAAGCAAAAGAACCCGCAGGGGGGGAAAGGCGCCCCAGUU
rnacentral:rRNA from 1 species